CCUGUGCGUAAAGGGCUCUCAAAUCAGCUGUGGCCUCUCACAAUUAGGAAUCAAACAACAAAGAGGACUGAAGAGGAGCCAAAGGAACAAUAGCGUCCAAACAGUUGGUUUCCAUGGCGACCCGGUGGCUGUGGUGCUGCUGCUGAGGAGAAAGAGGCGCGUGCAUGAGACAGGGAAGGAGGGAGCGAGGCGAGACGGUCGUUUGAAGUGCAAGGAGGGGACCAUUACACAUCUGAGCCAACUGCAUCACAAGACUGCCACUGUCCUGCCCCAGCCUCGUCACCAUAGCAACGGGAUCUUUGACCCCAUCUGUGGAAUCCUUGACCUGGAUGUAGAUCAGCGAGGCAUCAAGGGAGCCUAUUGGCUGAGAGCUGCUGCUGUGCCGAAGCCGCAGAGGAGGGGUGACUGUGGCGGUGGUGAUGGGGUGUGGGCUCUGAGGGUCAGUAGCAGGCCAGGAAGAUGGGAGGAUCCUGGGUUCCGC